UUCCCCUUAAAAUAGGCUCCCGAGAUCAGAUUCCACGAGCCCUUCAUAAUUCUUUCUCUCCACGCAAAGGGAAAUUAAUAUUCCAUCGUCCCUUUGUCUCACCCAAGAAAAACAAAAUUAUUCCCAUGUGCCUUCCUCUCCGUUAUUUCUCUCUCACAUUUAUUUUCCUGAUCUAGAUCUGAUUCGUAUCUCACAUAUUAUGUGUUGAUUUUUUUUCUUGCCGGUUGACUAUCCUAUCUUUUCUUCUGGAUUCAGAUUCAGCUAUUUUUUAAUCUGUCACCAAAGCUAUUCCUCUCUCAAACUAAUGCAACGAAGUUGAGCCAAGGAUAUGACGUGGUCAAGGGGUUAUUGCCUCACAUUUGUUUUCCUGAUCUAGAUCUGAUUCGUAUCUCACAUAUUCUGUGUUGAUUUGUUUUCUUGCCGGUUGACCAUCCUAUCUUUUCCUCUGGAUUUAGAUUCAACUAUUUUUUAUUCUGUCAUCUGAUCGUGUUGUGCUCGAACUCGUCCUAUUUAUAUUUUCUUCAUUGGAUUUCGAUUGGACCCUGAAUCUUCUCCCAUAAUUUUUUUGGAUACCUAAUGGAGAUCGAUUGAGAGCCCAGCUAUGCCCAUCAGGUGAUUAUUCGAUUUCACCAUCCCCGCUGCUUCAUGCAAAGAUUCUUCUUCUUCAUGGGGCGAGAUUUUUCUUCUUCUGUCCGAGAUUCAAGUGGUGAUGAUUCAGGGUACGGCAUCCAAUCUCUCCUUGCUCCAGUGCGAUGUUCGCUACCGCUGGCAGAUUAGGGUAAGACCUCCCACUUUGCUCCACCAUCCUCAGGGCGUGGUGAGGUAGACCUAGCUGCAUAGGAGUCUCUCUCUCUUUCUCAAAUUUCUGACAGGCAUGUGUCACUGGGUUUGCUGCACACAAGUGGUAUAUACAAGAUUUAUACGGCAGAUGUACACACCUUCGUUGUGUUUGACGAAGUGCCCAACCACGUGAUCACACAGGUGGUCUUUCACCAGGUGUGUCCUGCCCCAGACUCCCAGUUUGCAUUCAACUUUUCAAGUUCACGCCAACAGGAAUCAUGCAAUUUAUUUGAAAGCUAAGCUUGGUAAGCAUGGAUGCUAAUAGUAGCAUGUUUCGUUAGGAAAGGAGAGCUUUAUCCAUGGUGGUCAUGCUGUAAUCAAAACUGUUGGAUUAUAGACAA